rnacentral:rRNA from 1 species
CACGUAGGGGGCGAGCGUUGUCCGGAAUCAUUGGGCGUAAAGAGCUCGUAGGCGGCUCAGUAAGUCGGGUGUGAAACCCUCAGGCUCAACCUGGGGACGCCACCCGAUACUGCUGUGGCUAGAGUCCAGUAGGGGAGUGUGGAAUUCCCGGUGUAGCGGUGAAAUGCGCAGAUAUCGGGAGGAACACCAGCGACGAAGGCGGCACUCUGGGCUGGAACUGACGCUGAGGAGCGAAAGCGUGGGUAGCAAACAGG